GUAGUGGCUCAACGGCAGAGCACCUGCCUUGCAAGCAGAAGGUCCCAGGUUCAAUCCCUGGUGUCUCCA